AUGAUUAAUAAAAUUUUUGGCAUCUUCUGCUCAAUGAUAGAUUAAAUUGCCGCAAUAUUUUAAUUGUGCUAAGGUAGCAUAAUCACUUGUCUAUUAAUUGUAGACUGGAAUGAAGGAAUAAAUGUAAUUUUUUCUGUUUCAUAUUAUAAUUUAAAAUUUUAUAUUAAAGUGAAGAAGCUUUAAUAUGUUCGCUAGACAAGAAGACCCUAUAGAGCUUAAAUUAAUUUAUAAAGCAAUUAGUAAUAUAAUUAAAAUUUGAUUGGGACGAUCUAGAUAAUUAUAAAACUAUCUUCCAUAUAUUAAAAACCUAUUAGUAGUGUAUUUGAUCCACAUGCUAUGAUCAAAAAAUAAGUUACCUUAGGGAUAACAGACUAAUUUUUCUUUAAAGUUCUAAUUAAAAGAAUAGAUUUGCACCUCGAUGUUGGCUUAUAAGUAUAUUUAUUUAGUGCAGAAGCUAAGAUAAUAGAUUUGUUCAAUCUUUAAAAAUUU
rnacentral:rRNA from 1 species